UCCUUUGAUUUUUCAUUGCUUUAUCAUUGACAAGUUAAAGCUGUCAAAAACUAUUAAAAAAUAACAACGAUUUUAUAAGACUUUAACAGAUGGUUUAUAAUCAUACAUAUAAAAGAUUUAUAAAAAGAAAAAUGGGGGUCAAUGGGCAAAAUUUUUUAAGGCAUUCAAAUGGAUAAUACCAGAGGAUUCCGAAAAUCUGACAAAAAUCCAAAAACAUGACAAGC
rnacentral:lncRNA from 1 species